AGCGAACAUUGGCGGUAGGCUUAACACAUGCAAGUCGAGCGAGGCGUAAUAGUCGAGCGGCGAACGGGUGAGUAAUACAUGGGAAUCUACCUUGGAGUGGGGGAUAACAGCCAGAAAUGGCUGCUAAUACCGCAUAAUCCCGAGAGGGGAAAGCGCGCUGCGCUCCAAGAUGAGCCCAUGGCUGAUUAGCUAGUUGGUGGGGUAAAGGCCUACCAAGGCGACGAUCAGUAGCUGGUCUGAGAGAACGACCAGCCACACUGGGACUGAGACACGGCCCAGACUCCUACGGGAGGCAGCAGUGGGGAAUUUUGGACAAUGGGGGCAACCCUGAUCCAGCAAUGCCGCGUGAGUGAAGAAGGCCUUCGGGUUGUAAAGCUCUUUUGUCAGGGAAGAAACGGUUGGGGCUAAUACCUCUGGCUAAUGACGGUACCUGAAGAAUAAGCACCGGCUAACUACGUGCCAGCCGCCGCGGUAA
rnacentral:rRNA from 1 species